rnacentral:rRNA from 1 species
GACGAACGCUGGCGGCGUGCUUAACACAUGCAAGUCGAACGGAAAGGCCUGCUUUCCCUUGUGGAUUGCGGGUACUCGAGUGGCGAACGGGUGAGUAACACGUGAGUGAUCUGCCCCCAACUUGGGUAUAAGCCUGGGAAACUGGGUCUAAUUCCCGAUAGGACUGCAGGGUGGUGCCUGUGGUGGAAAACGAUUUUCUAGUGGUUGGGGAUGAGCUCGCGGCCUAUCAGCUUGUUGGUGGGGUAAUGGCCUACCAAGGCGGCGACGGGUAGCCGGCCUGGGGGGGGGACGGGCAAGAGGGGGCCUGCGCGACGGCCCAGCCCCCGGCGGGAGCAGGCGGGGGGGAAUAUGCACAAGGGGGGGGAAGCUUGAGGCAGGGACGCGGGGUGGGGGAUGGCGGCCUUCGGGUUGAAACCCCCUUGCGACGGGGAGAAACCCACGUGGGGGGAGGGGUGGUGAGGGGAGUGGAAAAAAAGGCCCCGGCAAACUAGGGC